rnacentral:rRNA from 1 species
UGGGAUAACGUUACGGGAAACCGGGAGCUAAUACCGAUAAUAUAUUGAACCGCAUGGUUCAAUAGUGAAAGACGGUUUUGCUGUCACUUAUAGAUGGAUCCGCGCCGCAUUAGCUAGUUGGUAAGGUAACGGCUUACCAAGGCAACGAUGCGUAGCCGACCUGAGAGGGUGAUCGGCCACACUGGAACUGAGACACGGUCCAGACUCCUACGGGAGGCAGCAGGC